UGCCACUAUGGCGGAAUUGGCAGACGCGCAACGUUCAGGUCGUUGUUUGGUUUAUCCAAGUACAGGUUCGACUCCUGCUAGUGGCAU
rnacentral:tRNA from 2 species